AUCGAGACUAGAGUCACAUCCUUACAUUUUCUGUUGUCUUGAUGUGCUAUAGUUUUCGAAGAGUAACUACUAAUUUUAUUCACUGGCUGUAGCUCCUUUAGCCCAGUCAGCCACACAAUUAGUAACAUUG